AUCAUAAAAUUAACUCACUAAUAUAGAUAUAAUAUAAAAUUAACUAAACUAAAAAACUAAACCAUUUUUCCACCUUAGUACGGGAGACGGAAAAGGUAACUUCAAGCAAUAGAGAAAGUACCGCAAGGGAAAGCUGAAAGAGUAAUGAAAUAACCCAUAUAAGUACAAAAAAGUAGAGCCUAACCCUCGUACCUUUUGCAUCAUGAUUUAGCCAGCACCGCACAAGCAAAGAGACCUUUAGUUUGAGACCCCGAAACCAAGUGAGCUACCCCGGGACAGCCUAUCAAGGGCGAACCCGUCUCUGUGGCAAAAGAGUGGGAAGAGCCCCGGGUAGAGGUGAUAAACCUACCGAACUUGGUGAUAGCUGGUUGCCUAAGAAAUGAAUAGAAGUUCAGCCUCGAGCCCCUUUAACCAACUAAGAGAUAUCUAAGCUAAGCACAAAAGAGAAACACGAGAGUUAAUUAAAGGGGGUACAGCCCCUUUAACUAAGGACACAACCUUAAAUAGGAGGAUAAGGGUCAUAUUUUAUAAAACUAGUCAUUCCAGUGGGCCUAAAAGCAGCCAUCUGAGUAGAAAGCGUUAAAGCUCAAACGACAUACAGUUUAUUAUAAUGAUAAACAGCCCAACUCCCCUAAAAAUAUUAGGCUAUUCCAUGCCACCAUGGAAGUAACUAUGCUAAAAUGAGUAACAAGAGGAUAUAACCCUCUCCCAAUACAAGUGUAAACUAGACCGGAUAAACCACUAGAAAUUAACGAACCCAAAAAAAGAGGGUAGUGUGAGUAACAAAAAAAUCAAGAAACCACCACAACACUUAAAUCGUUAAACCCACACUGGAGUAUUACAAGGAAAGACUAAAAGAAAUGGAAGGAACUCGGCAAACACAAGCCUCGCCUGUUUACCAAAAACAUCGCCUCCUGCAAACUCUAUGUAUAGGAGGUCCAGCCUGCCCAGUGACUACAAGUUUAACGGCCGCGGUAUUUUGACCGUGCAAAGGUAGCGCAAUCACUUGUCUUUUAAAUGAAGACCUGUAUGAAUGGCUAAACGAGGGCUUAGCUGUCUCCCUUUUCAAGUCAGUGAAAUUAAUCUACCCGUGCAG
rnacentral:rRNA from 1 species